CUCUCUCUCUCUCCGCCCGGCGAAAACGAUUUCACGGCGAGGGGCGACGGAACAUAGGGGGAGGCGAGGACCCAGUUACUCCGCCGCACGCACACGGUGGCGCGGUCGGUCUGCCCACCUCUCUUCGCCGCCGACCAAGAUGAAUCGGAUCUUUAGUAACCCUUAUGCAAGAAUUGAGCGUUGGAUCCGUUUCUCGUCCCAUUCUUGAUGAAAGAUCUCGAGGAUAUAUGGCGGUCCACGAGGGAGAGGGGUUCUUUUGCUGUUGAAAUGAAUGCUGGGCUUCAAGAUCCGGCAUUUAUGGGAACGGGGAUAAGAAUUGGAUGUUGCAGAUGUGUUCUCUGUAAAUUAUGGCACCUAUUUCCUGACGUAUGGGAAAGGAUAUGAACGUAAUCCAUAACUCUUGGGAGGAGGGACGAGUUUGCCGUUUCGUUUUCCCUCUUCGUUUCGCUACUCUCAAUGUGACGUUGCUUUGUGGAUGACUAGUGGUAUAAGGUAUGCCACGAUAGCAAUUCUUGGGUCGCACACAGAUUCGUUUAUUAGUUUUCAGUUCUUGAAUAUUUCUUUUAAAUUUUAUAAUAUUAACUUCUGGAGAUGAAAUCUUUAAGUAAUGUGUUUGACUCGUUACUGUUAGCAUUCUUGAACCACAAACCUAAAGGAUCAAUUCGUCCAAUCCAUAGAAGAUGACACCGACGGGAGUGUACAUGUUGCAUCUUGGAGUCCUACUUUUGACCCACAGAUCAAAGUUGUGAAUUAUGUAAGUUUUAUUGACAAUUAAUUUAUGGAGUUAACUUGUACCCUUUGCAUAUUUUCCUAAUAUGAAGGACCAAAAAUAUAGAAACUGUUGUUAAAUUUUAAUAAAUGUUCAAUUCCAUACUCAAAUUUAAUUGUAAUUUUUUGAGCUUAGUAUUUACAAAGACAUUUUGUAUUUAUUUAAUUUUUUUGCUACUAUUGUCUACGGUCCAAUAUCAAAUAUUUGCAUUGACUAGCUCAAUUAAUAGUUAAAACUUCAAGAAGAAGUAAAAUAUGUUGAAAAAUCUAUGGCCCAAUACAAAGUUGCUUAGGUCUAAUACAUUGCAACUAAAAAGUGCACAAUAAUUUCUGAAUCUAAAGCAGUAUGUCAGCAAGAUCGGUCCAGUUUGGAUGUUUUGAUGCACUGGUCUGGGUCUAGGUUAAGGUUAAGGUAUUAUAACCUACCAGUGGUUUUUGUUGGGUUCACUUCAGCCCUACGAAACUUAACCUGACAUCGAGGCAUCAACCCAAGUUUGCCACUUCUAUGUUUGUUUGGCAUUAUCAAAUUCUGAUGUAUUUAGGUUAUGUUUCAAAAGUUUUGUCUUAGCCAUGUUAGAGUAACAAAAACCACAGCUGAGAUAUCGAGCGAGCAGAAAACUAGUUAAGUUUUAGCAAAUUGUUCCCUUUAACAAUAGUGGUAUAUAAAAGUACUCAGCAAAGCCUAGCGUAAGGUAAAUUGUUGAACUUUGAGUUUCAUAACCCUUAGAAAACAAUUAUAUAGGGUGAACAGGUGAAAUCAUAAUUAAUUCGUGGAACUUCAUCAAGAGCCUUGCUUUCUAGUUCAUGUCUUAAAUCUUUCUAUAUGCUGAUAGAAAAUGUUAUACAGUGGUGACUUUGGCUGAAUUGUUGUGUUAGGAGUUCUGUACAUUGUGUAUUAUUAGUGUGGAUGGAUUCAGAUGUCCAGAUUCUCAGAUAGUCAGACCAACUGUGAUCUGGAACAAAAUUUGAUACAAAUAGCAAGCUGGCACAGAAAUCAGUAAAUAAUAUAUUUGUUUCUCAUCAGGAGUUUUAUUGUAUAAUAAGGUAAAUCAUUUUUGCUUAGUUCUGUGAUACUUUAUUUUUUGAUGUUUUGUAGUUCUAUUUCUUUGAUGAACACUUUGACAUGGGGUUGCAUAAAAUACAAGCAAGUGAAUAAUGAUUUUGCCACAGUUAUUUGGAUUUA